rnacentral:tRNA from 1 species
GGAGAGGUGGCCGAGCUGGCUGAAGGCGGCACCCUGCUAAGGUGUUGUAGGGGCAACUCUACCGAGGGUUCGAAUCCCUCCCUCUCCGCCA